rnacentral:lncRNA from 1 species
GAACGCCGGCCCGCUCUGUGCCACCCUCUCCCCAAGCCCCCGGGAGGAGGCCUCACCACCGUGCCCAGAGCAGCACAGUGAGUCAGAGAUGAAGCUCUUGUCCCACUUGCCGCAACCCUCGAGCCCUGCUUCCCAGGUCCGCGUUCCCAGGCAGCCUGCCACAGCCAGUGCCAGUGAGAGAGUGGAUCAGGCUUCAGGAUAGCCCAGCACUGAGGACAUCCAAAACAGUCUUCAUUUAUUUAUUUAUUGUUCAUAGUGUCCAAAAGUUGGAAUUAAAGUGAAUGGCUGAAUCAA